rnacentral:siRNA from 1 species
CAGCGCCACCUCAGCAAACUCCUC